GGUUCUGGGUGGGGAUGGGUUGCUGAUGGGUUGCAUUUUGAAGAUGAUGAUGAAUAAUUGAAUAAUUUUUGCCUCCUCAAAUCCCUCUUCUCAUCUGAAUUUGGGUUGAAAAGCUUAAAGCUUUCAACUUUUUUUCUCAUUAAACAAGGGCCAGAUCUGGUGGUUGGGGGUGAUGCUUCUGAAAUCUGGGUUUUGAAAGAUGUUGAAGAUGAAAAAGAGAAGGACACAGAACAUGGCACACAAAGCUGCUGGGGAGGAGCCUUUGCCUGAGGAAGAUCCUUCAAACCCCAUUUUCAAGCCACUACCUGAGCCAUCACGGUUGGAGAAUUUCCUCAUAACAAACCAAAUUUCUAACUACUGCAACCAAUUUCCGUUUGGUCAACAGACGGAAGCUAACGGAAGGGCUUCGUUAGCACAGUUUUGUAACAAAGGGGAGCUUGACCGCAACUUUUAUACACGGGGGGUGCGGAUCGCCCAUUCUUGAAACAUCAGGGGCCCAAACUGGAAUUAAGCCAUUAUAUUAUUAGUCUGAUAUUCAUUUCUGUCCUAAGUUGAGAUAGCCACCAUGGAAGAGUCCUGCUACUUUUGGUCGACUCAAGUGCAAUGUAUAGCUAUCUCGAGGCCCAUGGGAUCGAUUUCUUGACGAAGGUUGCUGGUGUACAUCCGUCUGAUUUGAUCCCAUUUACAAGAGAUAAAGCAAUCGGCGCUAUCAUGGCAUGUGUUAUUGUCAUUUUGCUCAUGGAAUCCUUGCCAGAGGCCAACAACCUCAGAAGCUCUUCAAGCUUCCUUUCUUCUAGGUGUAUUGGUGUCUUAUCUCAUUCGUGUUUUUUGUCUACUUUUUUAUCAAGAAUCUAGAUCAUGUUUUUAUUUCUUUGGCAAUUAUAUUUAGAAUCUUUCUUAUUUGUUGUAGAGCUGCUUUUACAUUCCUCUAUUCCUUCGCACCAAAGCAGCAGCAAGGACUCCUAUACUUGGCUUGCUGGUGUACAUCUUCGUGCAUUGAUCCUAUUUGCUAGUGACGAUGCAAUUAGCCUGUUAAUACUAUUUCUGCAUGCAGUCACUUUGCUCCUAGGAUCCAUGCGAGAGGCCUAGAGCUUCAGAAGCUGUUCAACAUCCUUUCUUUAAGGUGUGCUUGUCUUUGAACAGUUCGAGAAGACGAUGAAGUUGGAUGGAAACAAUCAUGUAAUAUAUCUAGAGGAAGAAGCAGCUGGAACUUGCCUGCUAAUAGAUGGAAGGGCUUUCUUGCUUCAAAAUGAUCAUGAUCCGUAAAAGUUAUGUGGGUGAAAGUCAUAUUGAUGCUGACAAACUUAUAUAAGAAGGCUCUAGCCGCCAUAUUUUGUCAAAGGGAGCAUCAGGAUGCCGUGGCACAGAUCUGGUCUUAUACUCUUAAUGCUAAACUGAAGUUCUUUGAAAAGUAUAUUUAACAGAAGAAUGGGAUUGAAGACGAGACGGAUAAAGCAUUGGUGGAGAGACAUAGUGAGAAGAAAUGGGGAGUGAUGGUUAUAAUUAAAUUUCUACGAUAUUUGCCUGCAAUGAUCAGUGCUGCAUUAAGGGAAGCAACCGGAUCGGGCUUAAGAAAGAAUCAAUAAGUUAGCCAAAAUACUCAAAGAUCAGGAAGUAGGCUCUGCAAUAUGUUCAACAGGUGUUGGAGUAAUUACCAGUAUCAUACAGAGGGAUGAAGGGCGUGCCCCAAUGAGGCACUCCUUUCACUGGUCAUUUUUUAGCUGGAUCUCGAGGGGCACUGGAUCGACAAGUUUCUAGGUGAUUUUCUGGCAUUUUGCCUAAUUUUGAGGCGCACAUGAUCGAAUUCUUGAUGUUCUUUGACCAGUUCGGGAAUACAGACGACGAAGUUGGAUGGAAACAAUCAUGUAAUAUAUGUAGAGGAAUAAGCAGCUGGAACUCUCGUGCUAAUGGAUGGAAGAACUUGCUUGCUACUGAUGAAAUGAGUUUAUUUUUAUCUUAAAGGUUCUAUCUCUUUUUAUUAUGGCUGUGGUUAGUUUCUAAACCCCUUUCAUUUGCAGAAUGAUCAUGACCAUAUGCUGAAGUUGAGGUCAUCAAGAUGUGCAUGCCUCUUCUUUCACCUGCUUCUGAGAUUAUUCAGUUCAAAAUCUCUGAAGGUCAAGAAAUGCAGGCUUGUGAACUUAUAGCCAGGCUUGACCUAGAUGACCCUUCAGCUGUAAGAAAGGCAGAACCCUUCUAAUCUUGGGCUCUCCUACUGCAAUUUCUAGUAAAGUUCAACAGAAAUGUGCCACAAGCUUAAAUACUGCACAGAUGAUUCUUGCUGGCUAUGAGCACAAAUAUGAUGAGGUUGUGCAAAGUUUAAUCAAUUGUCUACAGUCCUGAAUUUCCUUUCCUUCAAUGGUAAGAGUGCUUUGCAGUUGUAGCAACCCGUCUUUGCAAAGUUCUGGCAACCCAUCUUCCCAUAGAUCUAAAAAAUUAGUUGGAAUGAAAACAUCAUGAGUUCCCUUCCAGAGGAUUUCAAGCUCCCAAAUUCUUGACUUUCGCCAAAUUAUUGAAGGGGAAUCUUGAAGCUCACAUUUCCUCCUGUCCCGACAAAGAAAAGGGAGCCCAAGAAAGACUAAAAUAACCUGAUUAGUCUUGUGAGGGUGGAAGAGAGACAUGCACAUAUAAUUGUUCAAUCCCUUAUUGAAGAGUAUAUGUUUGAUGAAGAUCUAUUUAGUGAUAACAUACAUCUUUCUUGCUGGUAUAAUCUGCCUGUAUUGGUCCCAUUUGCAUGGUGCUUCUAUCUCUACCUUGAAUAAAAGAAAAUAACCGAGAACUUUUUGGAGUGCUUCUUUCCACAAUUGAUCCCAUUUGCAAGUGAUGGUGCAAUCAGCCAUAUCAGGAUCACGGUUUUGCUAAAAUGCGUUGGUUAAUUGGUCCCAGGUUGCAUUAUUCUAGUAAUUAUGGAAUCUUGUAUAUAUCUUGUGGACCUGGGCACAAAAUACAUGCAAGAUGCAUAAUUACCUGCUGUUAGUUUGGAUUUUAGAGUCUAUUCUAGUUAUUGUAUUCAAUUCUAGGCUUUUUUUUUUGUCUCCGUCUAUAAUUAUUUAUUUGUCUUAUACUCAUUCUUAUCAUAAGUUGAGAUGCCCUAAUGGAAGAUUUCUUCUAUUUUUAGUCGGGUCCACUGUAAUGUAGGUAUUUAAGAAAUUAACACAUUAUCUUUCAUUAGUU